ACCUUGGAGGACUAGUGGUUAGGCCUUGGCGCAAUCAGCACUGUGGCCUAGGUUUGAUUCCUGGCCAGGGAA